rnacentral:rRNA from 1 species
AUUGAACGCUGGCGGCAGGCCUAACACAUGCAAGUCGAACGUGUGACGGACGGGUGCGGAAUGUCUGGGAAACUGCCCGUUAGCGGGGGAUAACUACUGGAAACGGUAUCUAAUCCCGCAUACCCUCGUAUGUGCCCCGAUGGGAUUAGCUGGUAGGUGGGGUAACGGCUCACCUAGGCGACGAUCCCUAGCUGGUCUGAGAGGAUGACCAGCCACACUGGAACUGAGACACGGUCCAGACUCCUACGGGAGGCAGCAGUGGGGAAUAUUGCACAAUGGGCGCAAGCCUGAUGCAGCCAUGCCGCGUGUAUGAAGAAGGCCUUCGGGUUGUAAAGCACUUUCAGCGGGGAGGCGUUACCCGCAGAAGAAGCACCGGCUAACUCCGUGCCAGCAGCCGCGGUAAUUC